ensembl:lincRNA Gm12243 predicted gene 12243
UUGUUGCCACCUCUCCCCUACCUCUUCUGUCCUGUGAGAGACAGCCAAUGGAUGAAGACGUGUACUUACUAGUUCAUGGGGAGCAGGAUCUGUAGUUGCUCAGUGUCUCUGUGUCUUUAGAAAGUCAUAUCCAGCACAACAUGUAGAAGUUAUUUAGUUUAAUGAGCAUGACCCUCCCCCAUAGGCUCACAUAUUUCAAUAUUUGGUCCCCGUUGGUAAAACUGUUUGGGAGAAGCGGUGUGUCCUGGGCAUGGGCUUUGAGGUUUCUUUCUUCUUUUUUACAUUGCAAACUAAUUUUUUUUCAUUAUCUUUUGGCUUUGAGGUUUCAAAAGCCCAUGCCAAGCCCAAUCUUUCACGCUCUGACAGCUGUCUGCAGAUCAGGUUGUGAGCUCUCAAACACUGCUCUCAUACUAUGCCUCCCUGCCUGCCUGCCUGCCUGCCUGCCACCAUGCUCCCUGCCAUGAUGAUCAUGGACUUACCUCUGAAACUGAGUUGGAUGGAAAUAUGUGAGACUCAGGAUGUGAACAAAUAACAUGUGUUCUGGAAUACUGAAUCCUGCAAAGGGUCAGGAGAGGCCCUGCCCCCAACACCUACCCCCAUCCCCACCCCAGCUUUACAGACAAAGCCUUAAACAAAUGCCUGAGGCCAGGGAGAAGACUCUGACCCUCAGAGCUGUGGAGAGGAAAGUCCCAGCCUGCAAGCUGUGCAGAGGGCUCCAGGGUUGUAGCUUUCACUGCUUUCCACCCAUGCUGGAGUGGGCUUUGCAGUGAUCCAGCCGCUUUUGAAUCAAGUAGACGCCUGAAAAUCACCCCAAUAAAAUGCAUUGGUUUAACAAA